AUGAUGAUGAAGCCAAUGCUUGUAUUAGGUUUGGGAUCUUUUGUUCCAAUGAGGAUAUCACAUGUGGCAGAUCACUUGCUUGGAUAAGAGAUUUUUAUUAUCUCCCUUGGUGGUGGCCUUGAGAUCUUGAUUUUUUAUAUAUAUUUUGUUGGAAUAUUAAACGAAAGAAGUUGAAAGCUAUUCAAAAUUAUAUUUUUACCCUAUAUUUUGUUUAACAAACUUUUCAAAAUAAGUUCAAAUUUAUUAAACAGAAUUUUGAUUUUAUAUAAACAUUAGGGUGGGCGGGGCGUAAUUCGGGGAGGGGUUUCACCGAUUAGGGGGGCGGCGCCAUUGGAGCGGUGAACAAGAGAGAGGUAGACAAGGCGGUGGGCUCUCGCCGAUGGAGAGAGAGAGGAAAGAUGGUGGGCCAGCCCACUUUCAACCAAUCAAACUUUUUCUUUUUUUUUUCUUUUUUUUUGUUUGAAUAAAAAAAUAAGGGGAGUGGCGCCAUCAAAUUGGGGUGUUAGGGGAGUUUAAGAGGGGAGUUGACGUGGCACACGGGGAUUGGUUUGGCGUAAGAGAGGGGACUCACCUAUUAGGUGAGCACCCCCUUCACCCUUAUAUACACAUAUGGGGUCUAGGAUAUCAUUUUCUUUUUCUAUAUGUAUGAUCUUAUAACAGAAUCAAUAACCAUUUUUUUCCACAAAUAUCAGUACUUAAGUGCAUUAAGUUCAUUUGAAAUUGAAACAAAUCACCUAGUUUUUUAAAUAUAUCUAUAGUAAACAGUUAAAUGUAGUAAAUGAAAUGAUGAGUAUAAAACCACUUAAGUAUUUUUAUGUGAAUUUAUAUAUUUAGUUACUAAACUUUCUAAGUUUAUCUAAAAUAUAAACAAGAAACAUAACUAAAAUCGAAUAGAAAUGGCAGGAAUAUAUGUAUCAAGAUCAUAAAAUAAUAUGGUUACGGUUUCUUGUUCACUAUGGAUAUUACUAUAGAUUUAGGAGUAGCUUUAGAGAGUCUAUGCUGAUUAGAUCCCUGCUCUAACUUCUUUCAAUAUUGAGCUAAUUACGCUGUUAGUCAUUGUAGUUUAUGGAAAGUAACAAUCUCAUAGACUAAUAGUUCAAAGUAACAAUCUAAGGUUUUAACUUUUGAUUUUGUAACAUCUUAGGACCUUCAGGCUAAUGGCCAUUAAAAACUAACCGAGAACUUAAUACCCAACCUUGAACUUUGAAGAAACCACAGGGAAUAACCACAAAACUAACUCUUGUAAUAUAUAAAACACAAUUUUUCUUUUCUCUCUUAUUAUUUCAUUAAACCUUUUUAAUUAUGUAUGUAAACCAUUUUUUAAAUAAUUAUACGUAAUUGACGUAUUAAAACUAAUUCGAAGCCACUUCAGUAAUUAGCUUACAAGUAAAUUAAUGAGAAUAUUUCACAAAAUGAUCACUACAAGAAAUAAGGCAUUUAGCCACUAACCCUUUAGCGACGAAAUUUUUCGUCGCCAUAGGUCAGGUAUAACAACGAAGUUUAGUUGCUAUAGGUUUUCCAAGAAAUUUAAUUUUUUGACAUCUAUAGGGAUGAAAAUUGGCUUCUAUAAACUUGGCGGGGUGGAGGGAAAUUAUCCCGCUUUGUGAAAAUAUUUAUACCAACCAAAUUUCGUCCCAAUAGAAAAAUAAAGUUUUAAUUUUAUUUUUUUUAACCUAAGUGUAAAUAAAAACGAAAAAACAAAAAAUCAUUUUUAUUAACCUACAGCGACUAAACCUCGUAUGCAAUAGCUCUGAACAUUGUUUCAUAUAAAAGACAUCCUCUUUUUCCCCUAAAACCAGUUCCCUCAAUUUUCCCUAAAACCCUCCAGCAGAACCCACUUCCCUCCAGAGAAAUCAAGUUUUUUCCGGCGAUUUCGGGCAAGAAACCACCGUCGUCACCGGCCGCUGUUCGAAGGUUCAUUGUUUCACUUCUUCAAGCUGAUUUCAGCUUCUCAGAAUGCUUUCAGUGGAAUUCUAACUGGUCGAAUUCUAACGGGUCUUCCCAAGCAUGGAGGCAGGAGUUACAGAAAAUUGUAAAAAAACCUAUAGCGACCAAAUUUAGUCUUUAAAGGUGAAAUUACAGAAAAUUGUAAAAACUCUAUAGCAACGACCCUGUUGCGACUAAGUUUGGUCGCUGUAAGUCAAUCUAUAGCGACGCCUUUAUAGCGACGAAAAUUGCACCCUGUUACGACAGAUCAAUAGCAACGACCCUGUUGCGACUAAGUUUGGUCGCAAUAGGUUAAGACGGAAUUUCGUCGCGAAAAGUCUUUUUUGGGUCCUCGCUAAAGGUCCGAUUUCUUGUAGUGGAUAACCAAGUUUUAGUAGUGUUUCAAUUAGAUCACUUAUAAAAAAAUUGUUCUAAUUAACUCAUUAAAUUUUAUU
rnacentral:lncRNA from 1 species